GGUGACUGAAGCAACACAAAGUGUCACCAAACCCCAGUAAGGUCUAUAUUCUAGGGGUGGAGCACUAGAGCCGUGAGGGGGAGUCUAGAGAGCAGGAAACAAAGUAUCCCAGGAAAAAUUUGAAAAAAAUCAUGAUUUCUAGCUUCGAAAAAAAGUUUUUUGAAGUUGUCAAUUUGUCAUAUCAAUGGAUUUGGCAUAUGUCCGAUUGUCUGUUGAGACUUGAGAGAGUUAAAGACUUAAAGUUAAAUGAACCUGUAAAAGUCUAAACCCAAUAGGCCAAUACACAAUAUGCUUUUACUUUUAUAAAGUCAUUGACAUUGUGUUGUUUGAAUCCGAAUACAAUUUAUGAUGCAACUCCGAUGUAAAUAAUAUUUGGGGCGUAAAGAUUAAAUCUAGGCAAGUCUAUUUCCUAAAAGAAUGAAACUAAUUGCUCCUUGCUUGCAUUCACUGGUUUAUUGGAGCAAUUGUAAAGUUUUGAAACUUUAUUAUCUUCCCUGAAUAGAGUUUGCAGUGCCUUGUCAUGCGAAUAGCUUGCACGCAAGGAACGUUUGGAAUUUUUACGAACACUAGGGCGCUUUCCAUUUAACGGCCUGGCCGGUAAGACCCAAAUUAUUUUCUCUGUAUCAAUGGAAAGAUCUGGUCUAUGUUUCUCAAAUAUCUAGCGAAAAUGGACCUCAUUCUAAUGUUACCUAAAUGUUCCAGUCAGAUAGGUCCGAAGCCCAAAUGUUUUGGGUGGGACAUUGGGAUUUACGGUAUGGCGG
rnacentral:lncRNA from 1 species